UACGACUACAUAUCAGGCAUAUCAAUAAGCGGAGGAAAAGAAACUAACUAAGGAUUCCCUUCAGUAACGGCGAGUGAAGCGGGAAGAGCUCAAAUUUGAAAUCUUCAAGGUUUUACCUUGACGAAUUGUAGUUUAAAGAAGUGUUUUCUGUUAGAGAGUUAGGUAAAAGUUCUUUGGAAUAGGACAUCAUAGAGGGUGAGAAUCCCGUAUUUGACCAUUAUUUUCAGCUGUGUGAUACACUUUCAAAGAGUCGGAUUGUUUGGGAAUGCAGUCCAAAAUGGGUGGUAAAUUUCAUCUAAAGCUAAAUAUUGGCGAGAGACCGAUAGCGAACAAGUACCGUGAGGGAAAGAUGAAAAGAACUUUGAAAAGAGAGUUAAACAGUACGUGAAAUUGUCAAAAGGGAAGCGUUUGACACCAGUGUUGUUUUCUCGAAAAUCAAUUAAAAAGAGUUGGAUUUUGUGUUGUAUUGACCUUAACAGCUUGCUUCACUCUUUUCCAGCUUUUUUUAAUGCACUUUUCGUUUAACAAGUCAACAUCAGUUUCUUUUGUUGUAAAAGGGUCAUUGGAAGGUGGCUUUCUCUUCGGAGAAAGUGUUUAUAGCCUUUGAUCUCUGCAAUCGGAGAGACUGAGGUCUGCAGCGUAGAUCCUUCGGGGUUAGAUACAUUUGUGCUAAGCUACAGCUUUUCAUAGACAACUUGUUGACUAUGUUUAGUCUUGUAACUUACCCGCUUAUGCUAUUUUACCUACGCUUAGGAUGUUGAGCGCAUGUCUCUCUCU
rnacentral:rRNA from 1 species